UACGUAGGGUGCGAGCGUUGUCCGGAAUUAUUGGGCGUAAAGAGCUCGUAGGCGGUUUGUCGCGUCGACUGUGAAAACCUACAGCUUAACUGUGGGCUUGCAGUCGAUACGGGCAGACUUGAGUUCGGUAGGGGAGACUGGAAUUCCUGGUGUAGCGGUGAAAUGCGCAGAUAUCAGGAGGAACACCGGUGGCGAAGGCGGGUCUCU
rnacentral:rRNA from 1 species